rnacentral:lncRNA from 1 species
AAACCUUUCACAGCUGGUCGGAAGCUCAGGAUCAGAGAAGUUUCCAGGCCACAGAGAUGCAAGCGUUUCUCUUCAGCGCAAAGCGAAUAGCAGCAGAAAAGAAAACAAUUAUUAGAAGACGGGACCUUUGCUCUAUCUGGGGGAAGUCUCACAGUGAACAUUCAGGAAUGUGCUGGAGUUGCUUUACAACAGCCACUAGCCUGAAAGAGCAAAUAAGGACAUAGAGAAGAAUCACAUGAAUUUUCUUGUGAGUGCUGAAGAUGGCAAGGCUGAGCCUUUCUC